AAUCUGCCUCCUCUCUCAGGGCCAGCUGGAAACCCUCAGACUGAGCUCCAGGGAACACACAGGAGUCACAACUACAUACACCUUCUCGGUGGACAAGCCCACAGGCUGUGUGUAUAAUCAAAGGGGCCAGAGGACAAGGCCAAUCCAAGGAGGGAAGAGCCUAGGCCGGGCCUAAGGCCAGAAUGAUGCCAGCUCCCCAACACCCAGGAAGCCAAGCCAACAUCCAACCCCACACCCAGGAAGCCAGGGCUUUCGUAAAAGGUCUGGUGGGAAGGAAGCUUCAACUAAGUCAACUAAUGCAAACUUAACGGGAUGCCCACUAGGCACGAGGCCCUGUGCUGGGCAGGACAAUACUAAGGGGAGCUAUGGCCUGAGAAGACAGCAAGAAACAUCAGCAGGCCCGGAGGUCUGGCACCUUUCCCACUGCUGGAGCAGGCCGGCU